UAACAAGGUUUCCGUAGGUGAACCUGCGGAAGGAUCAUUGUCGAGAACCGAACCAUCGGACGAUCGCGAACGUGUCAACACUCCGUGUCCCGCCCUCGGGCGGGGCACCCCCGUGCGGCCCGCCGGCCCCGGACAUGUCCGGUGCCGGCGCGGCGGCAUAACGAAACCCCGGCGCAGUGGGCGCCAAGGAACACUGUCUACCAGCGCGGCCGCUCCCCCGACGGGGAGGGGCCUCGCGAAACAAUACAACGUUGUACUUCUGUACGACUCUCGGCAACGGAUAUCUAGGCUCUCGCAUCGAUGAAGAACGUAGCGAAAUGCGAUACUUGGUGUGAAUUGCAGAAUCCCGUGAACCAUCGAGUCUUUGAACGCAAGUUGCGCCCGAGGCCUCCUGGCCGAGGGCACGCCUGCCUGGGCGUCACGCCUCGUGUCGCUCCGCACCCCCCAUCUCCUCCGGGGGAGGGAGGAUCCAUGCGGACGCGGAGAUUGGCCCACCGUGCCCCGUGCGCGGCGGGCCGAAGUGCGGGCCGUCGUCGGGCCGGGCGCGGCGAGUGGUGGACGAUGAAACAUACGGCUCCUUCACCGCGCCCCGGCCCUUCCGUGGCGACGCAUCAUGGCCCCGAGCUAGGGACCCCCUACCGGAAAGGGAGCGCGCGCACACGUGCGCCGCCUCCCCAUCGGAACGCGACCCCAG
rnacentral:rRNA from 1 species